rnacentral:rRNA from 1 species
UAGCUAGUUGGUAGGGUAAAGGCCUACCAAGGCGACGAUCGGUAGCUGGUCUGAGAGGAUGACCAGCCACACUGGAACUGAGACACGGUCCAGACUCCUACGGGAGGCAGCAGUGGGGAAUAUUGGACAAUGGGGGCAACCCUGAUCCAGCAAUGCCGCGUGUGUGAAGAAGGCCUGAGGGUUGUAAAGCACUUUCAGUGGGGAGGAGGAUAUUUUGGUGAAGAGCUGAGAUAUUGGACGUUACCUACAGAAGAAGCACCGGCUAACUCCGUGCCAGCAGCCGCGGUAAUACGGAGGGUGCGAGCGUUAAUCGGAAUUACUGGGCGUAAAGAGUGCGUAGGUGGUUAUUUAAGUUAUCUGUGAAAUCCCUGGGCUCAACCUGGGCAGGUCAGAUAAUACUGGGUGACUCGAGUAUAGGAGAGGGUAGUGGAAUUUCCGGUGUAGCGGUGAAAUGCGUAGAGAUCGGAAGGAACACCAGUGGCGAAGGCGGCUACCUGGCCUGAUACUGACACUGAGGCACGAAAGCGUGGGGAGCAAACAGGAUUAGAUACCCUGGUAGUCCACGCCGUAAACGAUGUCAACUAGCUGUUGGUUAUAUAAAAAUAAUUAGUGGCGC